UGUAUCUCAGUGGUAGAGUGCUUGCCUGGCAUGCAUAGGACCUGGGUUCAAUCCCUAGCA
rnacentral:tRNA from 1 species